rnacentral:snRNA from 1 species
UUUCAAAUCACGUCUUUACUUGA